rnacentral:rRNA from 1 species
AUCGUAUCAGCUAGUUGGCGGGGUAACGGCCCACCAAGGCGACGACGCGUAGCCGGACUGAGAGGUUGGCCGGCCACAUUGGGACUGAGACACUGCCCAGACUCCUACGGGGGGCUGCAGUAACGAAUCUUCCGCAAUGCACGCAAGUGUGACGGAGCGACGCCGCGUGUGGGACGAAGCCCUUCGGGGUGUAAACCACUGUCAGAGGAUAGAAAGUUCUGAUCGUCCUCAGAGGAAGGCACGGCUAACUCUGUGCCAGCAGCCGCGGUAAGACAGAGGUGCCGAGCGUUAGGCGGAAUCACUGGGCUUAAAGCGUGUGUAGGCGGAUCGUUAAGUGUCUUGUGAAAUCCCAUGGCUUAACCAUGGAACUGCUGGACAUACUGGCGAUCUUGGGUCACCCAGGGGCAGCCGGAACAAUGGUGUAGCGGUAAAAUGCGUUGAUAUCAUUUGGAACGCCAAUGGCGAAAGCAAGCUGCUGGGGGUGCACCGACGCUGAGACACGAAAGCCAGGGGAGCA